UUUUUGAUUUUUUUUUUAUUUUUCUACUAAAAAAAA
rnacentral:sRNA from 1 species